rnacentral:misc_RNA from 1 species
UUUGAGUGAAACACUUU